rnacentral:rRNA from 1 species
GAUGAACGCUGGCGGCGUGCCUAAUACAUGCAAGUCGAGCGAACAGACGAGGAGCUUGCUCCUCUGACGUUAGCGGCGGACGGGUGAGUAACACGUGGAUAACCUACCUAUAAGACUGGGAUAACCUCGGGAAACCGGAGCUAAUACCGGAUAAUAUAUUGAACCGCAUGGUUCAAUAGUGAAAGACGGUUUUGCUGUCACUUAUAGAUGGAUCCGCGCCGCAUUAGCUAGUUGGUAAGGUAACGGCUUACCAAGGCGACGAUGCGUAGCCGACCUGAGAGGGUGAUCGGCCACACUGGAACUGAGACACGGUCCAGACUCCUACGGGGGGCAGCAGUAGGGAAUCUUCCGCAAUGGGCGAAAGCCUGACGGAGCAACGCCGCGUGAGUGAUGAAGGUCUUCGGAUCGUAAAACUCUGUUAUUAGGGAAGAACAAAUGUGUAAGUAACUAUGCACGUCUUGACGGUACCUAAUCAGAAAGCCACGGCUAACUACGUG